UAAUUUUCCUCAAAAUAUUAUAUAAAGGAAAGUUUUAAUUCAAUAAGUUUGAUACCAUUUUUCAAAUUUACCUUUAAAAUAUAAUCAUUUUCGAAAAUACCACAAAAUUUUGAUUAAAAUAUUAAAUUAAAUCUCAUAAAUCAUUUAUAAAUAUUUAAGAAUGAUUUAUAAAACAUUUAUAGAAGUUUAUAAACUCAAUCCCACCCCUAAAUACUAAACCUUAAACAAUUAUCACUCAA
rnacentral:lncRNA from 1 species